CGGCGAGUGAAGCGGCAAAAGCUCAAAUUUGAAAUCUGGCCCUCUCAGGGUCCGAGUUGUAAUUUGUAGAAGAUGCUUCGGGUGCGGCUCCGGUCUAAGUUCCUUAGAACAGGACGUCAUAGAGGGUGAGAACCCCGUUUGUGACUGGAUGCCCGCGCCCGUGUGAAGCUCUUUCGACGAGUCGAGUUGUUUGGGAAUGCAGCUCAAAAUGGGUGGUAAAUUUCAUCUAAAGCUAAAUAUGGGCCAGAGACCGAUAGCGCACAAGUAGAGUGAUCGAAAGAUGAAAAGCACUUUGGAAAGAGAGUUAAACAGUACGUGAAAUUGUUGAAAGGGAAGCGCUUGCAAUCAGACUUGCGCCCAGGUGAUCAUCGGGGGUUCUCCCCCGUGCACUCGCCUGGGCUCAGGCCAGCAUCGGUUUCCGUGGUGGGAUAAAGGCCCUGGGAACGUGACCCCUCUCGGGGGGUGUUAUAGCCCAGGGUGCAAUGCCGCCUACGGGGACCGAGGACCGCGCUUCGGCUAGGAUGCUGGCGUAAUGGUUGCAAGCGGCCCGUCUUGAAACACGGACCAAGGAGUCUAACAUCUAUGCGAGUGUUUGGGUGUCAAACCCAUGCGCGUAAUGAAAGUGAACGGAGGUGAGAACCCUCCAGGGUGCAUCAUCGACCGAUCCUGAUGUCUUCGGAUGGAUUUGAGUAAGAGCAUAGCUGUUGGGACCCGAAAGAUGGUGAACUAUGCGUGAAUAGGGUGAAGCCAGAGGAAACUCUGGUGGAGGCUCGCAGCGGUUCUGACGUGCAAAUCGAUCGUCAAAUUUGCGUAUAGGGGCGAAAGACUAAUCGAACCAU
rnacentral:rRNA from 1 species